UAUCUCGAAAGUAAAAGAUCUACUUAAAUUAUUCAGUUCUUGUGUCAAAAAGAUUGAAGAGGUUUAUUUAGGUGUGAAAUGUUUAUCGUUUUUACUAAUAUCUAGUAACUUUAGAAAAAAAUUUAGUUUAAAUCAUUGAGAAUUUCUUAUUUUUUAUAUGUAUUUAUAUUUUAGGGGAUGAGCUCUAAAAUAAAUUUAUAAGAAAAAAAUUUUUGAAUUUUUAGUAGGCUUAGAAUUGGCCAUAUGAUAUUGUUAUAAGAUAUAAAUUUAAAUUUAAGAUUUAAUUUUUCUUUUGGUUGUAUAAAGUUAAAGAAGGAAUAAAAAAAAUUUUGAAAAUAUGAUAGUAUAAGUAGAAAGAAAAAUAAAUUUUUCUUUAUUUUGUGUAUAAUAAAUUGUUACAAAAGAACUCGGCAAAAAGGAUUUCCGAAUGUUUAACAAAAACAUUUCCUCUUAAAAAAGGAGGUAAGGCCUGCUCACUGAAAAUUAAAGAGCCGCAGUAUUCUGACUGUGCUAAGGUAGCAUAAUCAUUAGUCUUUUAAUUGAAGACUGGUAUGAAUGGCUAAACGAGAAAUCAACUUUUUUUGUUUCAUAAAUUGAAUUUAAUUUUUUAGUGAAAAAGCUAAAAUAUUUCAGAAAGACGAGAAGACCCUAUAGAGUUUUAUAUUUUUCGAAAUUUUUUUUUAUUAGAUUUUUCUGAAAAAAAUUUAGGAAAAGUAUUUUGUUGGGGCGACAUUAAGAUAUAAAAAACUCUUUAUUUUUAAAACUUUGAUAAAAGAAUAAUAGUUUGAUCCUUUAAAAAAGAUCAUAAGAAAAAAUUACCUUAGGGAUAACAGCGUAAUCUUUUUUGAGAGUUCUAAUCGACAAAAAGGUUUGCGACCU
rnacentral:rRNA from 1 species